rnacentral:tRNA from 2 species
AGGAGAGAGAGGGAUUCGAACCCUCGAUAGUUCCUAGAACUAUACCGGUUUUCAAGACCGGAGCUAUCAACCACUCAGCCAU